rnacentral:lncRNA from 1 species
ACUAUUUCUCCUCAGAGCAACUCCUGUUAACAUCUCUUUGAAUUACUAAUUCUUUUGUUAAAUUGUGUGUGUGUGUGUGUGUGUGUGUUUGUGUGUGUGUGUGUGUAUGUGUGUGUGUGUGUGUUUGUGUGUGUGUGUGUUUGUGUGUGUGUUUUUGUGUGUGUGUGUGUGUAUGUGUGUGUGUGUGUGUUUGUGUGUGUGUUUUGUGUGUGUGUGUGUAUGUGUGUGUGUGUGAAUGCCAUGUCUGUGCAGGUGCCUGCAGAGGCUAGAAAAGCCCGUGGAGCUAGAGUUACAGAUGGUCCUGAAUAGCAGCCGUGGAAGCUCAGAACCAGACUCUUGUCUUCUGGAAGAACAGCAAGUGUUCUAACUUGUGGGUCAUCCCUCCAGCUCCAGAAUUGUUGAUUCUUUCUUCUUGGUAAAGCCUGCUAUUGAAUCCCUUUCAUGAAAAUUUCAGCUCUUUAUGGCCUGGAAUCGGCAGAGAGACUCGCCAGCAUGCUGGUGGAGAUUCUAGAAGGCUGGCAGGCCAGCAUGAAUGUGUCUUCUCCGCACUUGUAAAGACAUCUGUCUAGAAGAUUAGCGGUUGCAUGAACCUGUAAUUUGAUUCGAUUUUUGGUGUUUGCCUUGUGUGCUAUGAACUAGGGUGUUGAAGGAGCACCCCCCCACCCCACCCCCCUUUUCCUGCGGAGAAAACCAAAGGAGUUACAUGAGUACUUCCAACAUCACAGAGCUGUACCGGGCUUGGCAAGCCUCCCAUUUUUUUGUUUCAUUCUUAACAGCCCCUCAGGUGUCAAAAUUGUUCUAUCUGCUCCAUGUCAAACAAGAUUGGGACUGGCUCCUCCUACAGUGCACUGAAAGACCAGGGGCAUUGAAUAUGCGGUCUCCUCUCCUCUCUGCUUUUGAGUGAGAAGCUGUAGACUUGGGCAGAAACCCUUGCAGCUUGGGGAAGGGGACGGCAUCAGUGAAGUGAGACUUCUCCUGUCCCUGAUCUCAGUGAAGCUGUCCUCCACUUUGUCUUUUCGUCGAGUAUGCUUUACCUCCAGCAGCAGGUUCUGCUCCUGACACAAAGGUGGUCGUGACCACACUGGUGUUACAUCAGUGUUCCUGUGUGGACUGAGGAUUAAGACUUCAUGUUCUUCAUCUUGGUGACUAAUAUCUUGGCUUAUUCCAGAGGGUCGGUGAUUACAUGAAUCCCUAAGGAAUUUCAAAGUACUUGUGGCAAUUAUUGUCAGUGACAAGAUGUCCUAUUGAAGAUCACACUUUAUCCAUUCCUUAAUUUUAUCACUUAAGAAAAGACACAUAAAAGCACGUAUUUCCCUCCAUUGCUUUGUUUCUAAAGAUGACUUUGACUUUGGUACAUUGAGAACACACAGUGGCUCCUAAGCCAGAAAUGUUUUAGAAUAUAAUGUGAAAUUAGGCUGAAAUAAUCACUGUCUGUUCCUAAUCGUGGAAUUAGAAAGGACUCAGGGCCAUUUAAUAACAGCAGGGGAAACUGCCACUGGAUUCAGGCUGCUGAGACAGGCACCUGCAGAGAGUAGAUGGAUUUCACCAAGCUUUCAAGAAAGUACAGGAAAAAUAAUUUGCCAUCCUUUGUCUUCUGACAAGAUGAGAGAAACCAG